CCUUCCGUUGGGGAACCUGNGGAAGGAUCAUUG
rnacentral:rRNA from 1 species